rnacentral:misc_RNA from 1 species
AAAGUCCUGUGCUUAAACCACUAGUCCUGCCAAUUUCACAUAUAAGAUAUAAUGUUGCAUGCGGUGGAGGAACAUUAUAUGAUAUUGGAUAUAGUCAAAUACAAGUAAUUUUAAGGUUGGAGCAGUUUCAUGGAUGAAAUAAUAGAAUUUUUAGAAAUUAGUCUUGUAUGAAAAGUGACAAAUGUAUGAAAAGUGACAAAUGUUUGAAGUUUUGGCUAUAUGAGGCACCAUCUCCGCUAAGCAAUGUCAUUCUGCCAUUUCAAUUUCUCUCUCAGUGAAAUUGAUCAUGUUUAAAAUGAAAACUUCAGCGGACAACAAUGAUGGAAUGGAACAAUUGUUUUAACUUAGCAAGUCUUAUGUAA